CUGCCUGGCCGCGCUGCCGCUGCGCGCCGCUGCCGUCCCCUCGCCGCGUACCUCUGGCUCGCGUCAGACUCGCAGUGUCUUCGGUCCUGUCCCUGCCAGUGCAAGCGUAAGACACAUGCAGGACAAAGGACCCAAAGCAGAAGACCAAAAAAGGCCCUUGGCCCCUCGAGGUGACUCCUUUUAUCCCCUCAUACAAACAAUGCAUUAACAUAACCAAGACUUCAUCUCACUGAGAAGCUGGCAGGUGUUCUGCGUUUGGCAAGUAGCAGUGCUGUGAAGGGGACAGAGCUCUGGAACAGGCUGCUCAGGGGAGCUGUGGAGUAUCCCUCUCUGGAGAUAUUCAAGACCUGCCUGGAGG